AAAUGAAUAGACGGGGGCCCGCACAAGCAGUGGAGCAUGUGGUUUAAUUCGAAGCAACGCGAAGAACCUUACCAGGGCUUGACAUCCCGCUGACCGGUGCAGAGAUGCAUCUUUCCCUUUUGGGACAGCGGUGACAGGUGGUGCAUGGUUGUCGUCAGCUCGUGUCGUGAGAUGUUGGGUUAAGUCCCGCAACGAGCGCAACCCUUGUCCUUAGUUGCCAGCACCUUGGGUGGGCACUCUAAGGAGACUGCCGAUGACAAAUCGGAGGAAGGUGGGGAUGACGUCAAAUCAUCAUGCCCCUUAUGUCCUGGGCUACACACGUGCUACAAUGGCCGGUACAAAGGGUUGCGAACCCGCGAGGGGGAGCCAAUCCCAAAAAGCCGGUCUCAGUUCGGAUUGCAGGCUGCAACUCGCCUGCAUGAAGGCGGAAUUGCUAGUAAUCGCGGAUCAGCAUGCCGCGGUGAAUACGUUCCCGGGCCUUGUACACACCGCCCGU
rnacentral:rRNA from 1 species